UACGUAGGGUGCAAGCGUUAAUCGGAAUUACUGGGCGUAAAGCGUGCGCAGGCGGUUUUGUAAGUCUGAUGUGAAAUCCCCCGGGCUCAACCUGGGAAUUGCAUUGGAGACUGCAAGGCUAGAAUCUGGCAGAGGGGGGGUAGAAUUCCACGUGUAGCAGUGAAAUGCGUAGAGAUGUGGAGGAACACCGAUGGCGAAGGCAGCCCCCCUGGGUCAAGAUUGACGCUCAUGCACGAAAGCGUGGGGAGCAAACAGG
rnacentral:rRNA from 1 species